UGGGGGAUAUUGCACAAUGGGCGAAAGCCUGAUGCAGCGACGCCGCGUGGGGAUGAAGGCCUUCGGGUUGUAAACUUCUUUUGCUCUUAACAAGGGGCACCAUGGGGUGUGUUGAGUUGUGGGGUUGAUUAGCGCCGGCUAACUACGUUCCCGCAGCCGCGGUAAUACGUAGGGCGCGAGCGUUGUCCGGAAUUAUUGGGCGUAAAGGGCUUGUAGGUGGCUGGUUGCGUCUGUCGUGAAAGCUCAUGGCUUAACUGUGGGUUUGCGGUGGGUACGGGCUGGCUUGAGUGCAGUAGGGGAGGCUGGAAUUCCUGGUGUAGCGGUGGAAUGCGCAGAUAUCAGGAGGAAUACCGGUGGCGAAGGCGGGUCUCUGGGCUGUUACUGACACUGAGGAGCGAAAGCAUGGGGAGCGAACAGG
rnacentral:rRNA from 1 species